GGGGGUGAUCUGGUUUCGACUUCGUGAGUUGAACUGUUGGAAGCGAGCCGAGGUCUCCGGAGCCUCGUUAAACAGCCGGAAACCAACAAUGAGUG
rnacentral:tmRNA from 1 species